rnacentral:rRNA from 1 species
GACGAACGCUGGCGGCGUGCUUAACACAUGCAAGUCGAACGGGCCUGUCUUCUUUUUUGGGGGUGGGUUGAGUGGCGAACGGGUGAGUAUCACGUGAGUAACCUGCCCUUCGGUCCUGGAUAACCGCUUGAAAGGGCGGCUAAUACGGGGUGGUCCGGUUGGUCCGCAUGGGCUGGUCGGGAUAGAUUCACUGUUUUUGGUGUUUCGGCGGGGGAUGGGCUCGCGGCCUAUCAGCUUGUUGGUGGGGUGAUGGCCUACCAAGGCGGUGACGGGUAGCCGGCCUGAGGGGGUGGGCGGCCACACGGGGACUGGGAUACGGCCCAGACUGAUGCGGGAGGCAGCAGUGGGGGGUAUUGCACAAGGGGCGGAAGCCUGAUGCAGCGACGUCGGGUGAGGGAUGGAGGCGUUCGGGUUGUGAACCUCUGUUUCCGGUGGUGAAGGCCCUGUCCGUGUGGUGGGGUUGACGGUAGCCGGGGAUGAAGCGCCGGCUAACUACGUG